UACGGGGGGUGCGAGCGUUGUCCGGAAUCACUGGGCGUAAAGGGCGCGUAGGCGGCGCGACAAGUCAGUGGUGAAAGCCCGAGGCUCAACUUCGGGUCGGCCACUGAUACUGUCGGGCUCGAGCACUGUAGAGGCAGGUGGAAUUCCGGGUGUAGCGGUGGAAUACGUAGAGAUCCGGAAGAACACCGGUGGCGAAGGCGGCCUGCUGGGCAGUAGCUGACGCUGAGGCGCGACAGCGUGGGGAGCAAACAGG
rnacentral:rRNA from 1 species